AUAUCAAUAGGCGGAGGAAAAGAAACCAACAGGGAUUGCCUUAGUAACGGCGAGUGAAGCGGCAACAGCUCAAAUUUGAAAUCUGCCUCUAGGCCGAGUUGUAAUUUGUAGAAGAUGCUUCGGGUGUGGCACCGGUCUAAGUUCCUUGGAACAGGACGUCAUAGAGGGUGAGAACCCCGUAUGCGUUCGGCCGCCAUUGCCUCUGUGAAGCUCCUUCGAAGAGUCGAGUUGUUUGGGAAUGCAGCUCUAAAUGGGUGGUAAAUUCCAUCUAAAGCUAAAUACUGGCCAGAGACCGAUAGCGCACAAGUA
rnacentral:rRNA from 1 species